rnacentral:rRNA from 2 species
UUAAGUUAUUAAGGGCGCACGGUGGAUGCCUUGGCACUAGAAGCCGAUGAAGGACGUUACUAACGACGAUAUGCUUUGGGGAGCUGUAAGUAAGCUUUGAUCCAGAGAUUUCCGAAUGGGGAAACCCAGCAUGAGUUAUGUCAUGUUAUCGAUAUGUGAAUACAUAGCAUAUCAGAAGGCACACCCGGAGAACUGAAACAUCUUAGUACCCGGAGGAAGAGAAAGAAAAUUCGAUUCCCUUAGUAGCGGCGAGCGAAACGGGAAGAGCCCAAACCAACAAGCUUGCUUGUUGGGGUUGUAGGACACUCUAUACGGAGUUACAAAGGACGACAUUAGACGAAUCAUCUGGAAAGAUGAAUCAAAGAAGGUAAUAAUCCUGUAGUCGAAAAUGUUGUCUCUCUUGAGUGGAUCCUGAGUACGACGGAGCACGUGAAAUUCCGUCGGAAUCUGGGAGGACCAUCUCCUAAGGCUAAAUACUCUCUAGUGACCGAUAGUGAACCAGUACCGUGAGGGAAAGGUGAAAAGCACCCCGGAAGGGGAGUGAAAUAGAACCUGAAACCGUGUGCUUACAAGUAGUCAGAGCCCGUUAAUGGGUGAUGGCGUGCCUUUUGUAGAAUGAACCGGCGAGUUACGAUUUGAUGCAAGGUUAAGCAGUAAAUGUGGAGCCGUAGCGAAAGCGAGUCUGAAUAGGGCGUUUAGUAUUUGGUCGUAGACCCGAAACCAGGUGAUCUACCCUUGGUCAGGUUGAAGUUCAGGUAACACUGAAUGGAGGACCGAACCGACUUACGUUGAAAAGUGAGCGGAUGAACUGAGGGUAGCGGAGAAAUUCCAAUCGAACCUGGAGAUAGCUGGUUCUCUCCGAAAUAGCUUUAGGGCUAGCCUCAAGUGAUGAUUAUUGGAGGUAGAGCACUGUUUGGACGAGGGGCCCCUCUCGGGUUACCGAAUUCAGACAAACUCCGAAUGCCAAUUAAUUUAACUUGGGAGUCAGAACAUGGGUGAUAAGGUCCGUGUUCGAAAGGGAAACAGCCCAGACCACCAGCUAAGGUCCCAAAAUAUAUGUUAAGUGGAAAAGGAUGUGGCGUUGCCCAGACAACUAGGAUGUUGGCUUAGAAGCAGCCAUCAUUUAAAGAGUGCGUAAUAGCUCACUAGUCGAGUGACACUGCGCCGAAAAUGUACCGGGGCUAAACAUAUUACCGAAGCUGUGGAUUGUCCUUUGGACAAUGGUAGGAGAGCGUUCUAAGGGCGUUGAAGCAUGAUCGUAAGGACAUGUGGAGCGCUUAGAAGUGAGAAUGCCGGUGUGAGUAGCGAAAGACGGGUGAGAAUCCCGUCCACCGAUUGACUAAGGUUUCCAGAGGAAGGCUCGUCCGCUCUGGGUUAGUCGGGUCCUAAGCUGAGGCCGACAGGCGUAGGCGAUGGAUAACAGGUUGAUAUUCCUGUACCACCUAUAAUCGUUUUAAUCGAUGGGGGGACGCAGUAGGAUAGGCGAAGCGUGCGAUUGGAUUGCACGUCUAAGCAGUAAGGCUGAGUAUUAGGCAAAUCCGGUACUCGUUAAGGCUGAGCUGUGAUGGGGAGAAGACAUUGAGUCUUCGAGUCGUUGAUUUCACACUGCCGAGAAAAGCCUCUAGAUAGAAAAUAGGUGCCCGUACCGCAAACCGACACAGGUAGUCAAGAUGAGAAUUCUAAGGUGAGCGAGCGAACUCUCGUUAAGGAACUCGGCAAAAUGACCCCGUAACUUCGGGAGAAGGGGUGCUCUUUAGGGUUAACGCCCAGAAGAGCCGCAGUGAAUAGGCCCAAGCGACUGUUUAUCAAAAACACAGGUCUCUGCUAAACCGUAAGGUGAUGUAUAGGGGCUGACGCCUGCCCGGUGCUGGAAGGUUAAGAGGAGUGGUUAGCUUCUGCGAAGCUACGAAUCGAAGCCCCAGUAAACGGCGGCCGUAACUAUAACGGUCCUAAGGUAGCGAAAUUCCUUGUCGGGUAAGUUCCGACCCGCACGAAAGGCGUAACGAUUUGGGCACUGUCUCAACGAGAGACUCGGUGAAAUCAUAGUACCUGUGAAGAUGCAGGUUACCCGCGACAGGACGGAAAGACCCCGUGGAGCUUUACUGUAGCCUGAUAUUGAAAUUCGGCACAGCUUGUACAGGAUAGGUAGGAGCCUUUGAAACGUGAGCGCUAGCUUACGUGGAGGCGCUGGUGGGAUACUACCCUAGCUGUGUUGGCUUUCUAACCCGCACCACUUAUCGUGGUGGGAGACAGUGUCAGGCGGGCAGUUUGACUGGGGCGGUCGCCUCCUAAAAGGUAACGGAGGCGCUCAAAGGUUCCCUCAGAAUGGUUGGAAAUCAUUCAUAGAGUGUAAAGGCAUAAGGGAGCUUGACUGCGAGACCUACAAGUCGAG